rnacentral:rRNA from 1 species
GACGAACGCUGGCGGCGUGCUUAACACAUGCAAGUCGAGCGAGGCCCUCUCUUCGGGGGGGUGGCCCUACGCGGCGAACGGGUGAGUAACACGUGGGCAACCUGCCCUCCAGCUCUGGGAUAACUCCAAGAAAUUGGUGCUAAUACCGGAUGUGACCGCUGACCGCAUGGUCUGGUGGUGGAAAGAUUCAUCGGCUGAGGAUGGGCCCGCGGCCUAUCAGCUUGUUGGUGGGGCAUGGCUCACCAAGGCGACGACGGGUAGCCGGCCUGAGAGGGUGACCGGCCACACUGGGACUGAGACACGGCCCAGACUCCUACGGGAGGCAGCAGGUGGGGAAUAUUGCGCAAUGGGCGAAAGCCUGACGCAGCGACGCCGCGUGA